rnacentral:rRNA from 1 species
UACGGAGGGUGCAAGCGUUGCUCGGAAUUACUGGGCGUAAAGGGCGUGUAGGCGGUCUCGUAUGUCUGUCGUGAAAGCCCCGGGCUUACCCCGGGAAGUGCGAUGGAAACUGCGAGACUAGAGUCCCGGAGAGGAAGGUGGAAUUCCAGGUGUAGCGGUGAAAUGCGUAGAUAUCUGGAAGAACACCGGUGGCGAAGGCGGCCUUCUGGACGGUGACUGACGCUGAGACGCGAAAGCGUGGGGAG